rnacentral:lncRNA from 1 species
UUGUUGACGUUGAUAUCUUUGUUGCAGUGGUUGUCGUUGGCCUUGUUGUUGUUGUUGUUGUUGUUGUUGUCGUUGCUGCCGCUUUUGUCGUUGUUGUCGUUGUUAUUGUUGGUGUCGUUGUUGUCGUUGUUCUCGUCCUUGUCGUCAUCGUCGUCAUUGUCGUCGUCGUACUUGUCGCCGUCGUCGUCGUUGUCGUCGUCGCCGUCGCCGUCGUUGUCGUCGUUGUUGUCAUUAUUGUUGUUGUUGUUGUUGUUGUUGUUGUUUUUGUUGUUGUUGUUGUUGUGGUUGUCAUCGUC